UACCAUGCAAGUCGAGCGGGCGUCACAUACGUCAGCGGCAGACGGGUGAGUAACGCGUGGGAACGUACCUUUUGGUUCGGAACAACACAGGGAAACUUGUGCUAAUACCGGAUAAGCCCUUACGGGGAAAGAUUUAUCGCCGAAAGAUCGGCCCGCGUCUGAUUAGCUAGUUGGUGGGGUAACGGCCCACCAAGGCUACGAUCAGUAGCUGGUCUGAGAGGAUGAUCAGCCUCACUGGGACUGAGACACGGCCCAGACUCCUACGGGAGGCAGCAGUGGG
rnacentral:rRNA from 1 species